UGAACCGCUGCUUUUCAGCUCCGGCUGAAAAGGAGCCGGCGCGGGGCCUCGCCUCUUAAUUGCGGAGGAGGGGGAACAUGGAAAAGCCUCUGGCUGCUGCUAAUGCAGGAGAAAGCGGCUGCUCCGGAGGCACAGCCUUCUCCAGGGCAUCCUCCCAGCGGGGUGGGACCCGACCCGGAGCGCUCGUCCUGGGAAUGCGCCAGCGGCGAGGGCCGGCGGCGGAGCUGGAGAGCUGGAUCCCGCUGAGAGGAUGAAAACAUGGGGCUCAAGUUAUCCUGCCUGAAAGGCCUGAAGAUGUGCGUGAGCAGCGGCAGCGACGGGACCCCGGUGGCAUCGUCGGGACAGAAGCACCUGCACGUGCCCUCCAUCAUCGUCACACCUCCCACGCCCACGGGGACCACGCUGUCCCGCGAGGGGCGGCGCGGCGAGGGCCCGUCACCCUGCAGCCAGUGCUGAGAGGGGACGCGGGGGACGCCCGGCCCCGGCAGGACCCGUCCCCGCUCCGUCGGGAUGGAGCCACGGCCUCCGGGGCACGGCUGGGCCGGAUGCGGCUCCCAGGGACGCACGGGGCGCCCACACGGGUGGGUUUGGACGCUGGGGAUCGGGGGUUUGUCCCUGUUCCUAACA